CUUUUAUCAGUUUAUAAAAGGCCCAUAAAUGUCAGAUAAUGCAUGUCAUGAUAAAGAUCUGCAACAACAAAUGCCAUUCCAUGUCUCGCGGUGAAGCCGAUCCAUGAGCUGCCAGAAAAUUCAAGAUCUCCAGCAAUGCUCACCAGUUCCACAAGCAAAAAAAGAAAGAAAAGGCACUCAACAGGAAAGCGGGCCUGAAUUCCACUUUCACUUGCAAUAGACAUAAACAAUCCAACCUACCUACAAUGAUCCACAGGAUCAUGUGAGGGCGCUGCAGACUUGGUCUUCCACAUAUUGCAACAAAUGACCAACUGUAUUUGGAACCUAAAAUGCAAUCACGCAUACCCCAAUGAUUUCUCCUUAGAAACUCUGGAUACUUUCUUCUUUCCUUUUCCCAGUACAAGAAACUUGAGAAACUCAACAACUCACUUCUUUGAUUCAAUGAGUUCGGCGUCAUUGCUUCAAGCGAAGUUAUGACAAGAACCAUUAUAUCAUGCAUAAAACCAUCUAACUAAAAGAGAUAAAAAGAAGGCGGCUGCAAUAACCUAAAAAAAAAAAAGAAAAAAGAAAAACAGAAUGUGCCUGCUUCUGGCACAGAUCUUGCU
rnacentral:misc_RNA from 1 species